UUUAUUUUGGAAACAUGUUACAAACAUACUUAGAAUGUGCUUCUCCAUUUGUACUUUUCCAUUGGCGUACCGCUUCUAAUGGCAUGGAAGAGAGCACUCUGUAAUGUAUCUGUUUCAGUUUUAAAUGAUUUUCCUAGACUCAAGAAAAUUGGUACUCCAUGGUAGGUGCCACAGUUACCCUGUGACUGUACGUAGUGCUUGAUACAAUACUACUCAGUUUUUAUGAGCUACAAGGAUUGCUGAAAUGAAGGACCUAUCUUUGUGGAACUGGAGAUCUUUCUUGUCAUGGAGGUGCUUAAUGUUCAAGCAGAUGCAUUUACUAUAGUAAUGGACCACGAUCUUGAAAAAGACACACAGUGCUCAUGACCCAUAUUUUUUUCCUUACUGUUAAACGGGAUAUUAACUUUGUCACUGUUUAGCUGGCUUUUGGUCUUUCCUCUCUGAGAAUGUAUCCAGGGCCUCCUGGCUGGCUCAGUCAGUAGAAUAUGAGACUCUUGAUCUCAGGGUUGUGGAUUCAGGCUCCAUGUUGGGUGUAGAGUUUGCUUAAAAACAAGAUCUUUAAAAAGAGAGAGAGAAAGAAUGCAUCUGUGUUUCAGAUUCUUUAAUUUUAGGAUUUGACAGUUGUCACUAAUCAUAGGGACCACUAAGGCCUCUGUGAAAACUAUUCCUUAUACAUCAGGUUUUUAGUAUAAUAUUUGAAGGUUUCAUGAACUGCAAAGUGAACCUGGAACUUUUAAUGCGUUCAUUAAGAGCCUCCCAGAAAUAAUAGACUAUUUAUUUAGUCUCAUUACAGUCUCUUGGUUUCUCAAGAUUUUUGAAUUGUGAUCUCUCUUUUCAUCCAAAACCAUUUCAUCCUGAGACAUUUGUUUACUAUCAUGCCUUGAUCUCCACAAUUCUUGCUGGAAUGCAGCGUCUUUUUUUGCUGUGUCUCCGGAAUUCACCUUUAUACUCCUGGUUACUUGAGAAUUUCAUUUUACAAUUAGAGCUUCUUUCUAAAUUCUUAGGCUCUACAAUUCAUUUUCAGCCCCGGUUCUUUUCUGAGUGGUCAAGCCUACAUCCCUGAUGACUAUAUAUUAACGGAUCUGGUUCACCCUUUCCAUACAAGCUGACAAUAAGCUUCUUUUUUUUUUCUUAAAGAUAACUUUUUUUUUUUUUUUAAUAAUCUCUAUACCCAAUGUAGGACUUGAACUCACAACCCCAAUAUCAAGAGUUUCAUAUUCUUCCAAAUGAGCCAGCUAGGUGCCCCUGACAAUAAUCUUUAAGCAGUUUUUACAUUCAGUUUGGGCAAAAGG